UGUCGUCAGCUCGUGUCGUGAGAUGUUGGGUUAAGUCCCGCAACGAGCGCAACCCUCAUCCUUAGUUACCAUCAGGUAAUGCUGGGGACUUUAAGGAAACUGCCAGUGAUAAACUGGAGGAAGGUGGGGAUGAUGUCAAGUCAUCAUGGCCCUUAUGGAGUGGGCUACACACGUGCUACAAUGGUGGCUACAAUGGGCUGCAAAGUCGCGAGGCUAAGCCAAUCCCUUAAAAGCCAUCUCAGUUCGGAUUGUACUCUGCAACUCGAGUGCAUGAAGUUGGAAUCGCUAGUAAUCGUGGAUCAGCACGCCACGGUGAAUACGUUCUCGGGUCUUGUACACACUGCCCGUCACGCCAUGGGAAUUGGUUUCACUCGAAGC
rnacentral:rRNA from 1 species